rnacentral:rRNA from 1 species
AUUGAACGCUGGCGGCAGGCCUAACACAUGCAAGUCGAACGAGCGGCGGACGGGUGAGUAAUGUCUGGGAAACUGCCUGAUGGAGGGGGAUAACUACUGGAAACGGUAGCUAAUACCGCAUACCAUCAGAUGUGCCCAGAUGGGAUUAGCUUGUUGGUGGGGUAACGGCUCACCAAUGCGACGAUCCCUAGCUGGUCUGAGAGGAUGACCAGCCGCACUGGAACUGAGACCCGGUCCCAACUCCUACGCGAGGCAGAAGUAGGGAAUAUUGGACAAUGGGCGCAAGCCUGAUGAAGCCAUGCCGCGUGUGUGAAGAAGGCCUUCGGGUUGUAAAGUACGGUCAGCGGGGAGGCGUUACCCACAGAAGAAGCACCGGCUAACUCCGUGCCAGCAGCCGCGGUAAUUC